rnacentral:rRNA from 1 species
GAUGAACGCUGGCGGCGUGCCUAAUACAUGCAAGUCGAGCGAACAGACGAGGAGCUUGCUCCUCCGAUGUUAGCGGCGGACGGGUGAGUAACACGUGGAUAACCUACCUAUCAGACUGGGAUAACUACGGGAAACCGGAGCUAACACAGGAUAAUAUCUCGAAUCGCAUGGUUCAAUAGUGAAAGACGGUUUUGCUGUCACUUAUAGAUGGAUCCGCGCUGCAUUAGCUAGUUGGUAGGGUAAGGGCCUACCAAGGCAGCGAUGGGUAGCUGACCGGAGAGAGUGGUCGGCCACACUGGAACUGAGACACGGUCCAGACUCCUACGGGAGGCAGCAGUAGGGAAGCUUCAGCAAUGAGUGAAAGCCUGACGGAGCAACGCAGCGUGAGUGAUGAAGGUCUUCGGAUCGUAAAACUCUGUUAUUAGGGAAGAACAAAUGUGUAAGUAACUAUGCACGUCUUGACGGUACCUAAUCAGAAAGCCACGGCUAACUACGUG